AAAACUAGUUGAAUUUAUUGUGACUGUUCUAGUAGAUUAUCAAUAGUGUUUUAAGAAAAUGUUUCUUGAUAUUUUUUAUGUGUGCCUUAAAGCUGAUAAAAAAACCUUUUGAAAUUCUUAGACCUGGGAAAGUGCAACAGAUGUUCUGGUGUUCCAUGGAAAGAGUCACAUUCUGCUUGUAGAAUACAUUUGUACAUCAUUUUGGAUAUAAUGGAGGAUUGGCAUGAGAAACUUACUACAGCUGCUGGGAAUGGAGAUAUAGAAGCCUUAAAAUUAAGCCUACAGAAUGGUGCAGACAUUGAUUAUCAAGAUG